rnacentral:rRNA from 1 species
CCUACGGGUGACAGCAGUGGGGAAUAUUGCACAAUGGGGGAAACCCUGAUGCAGCGACGCCGCGUGAGUGAAGAAGUAUUUCGGUACGUAAAGCUCUAUCAGCAGGGAAGAAAAUGACGGUACCUGACUAAGAAGCCCCGGCUAACUACGUGCCAGCAGCCGCGGUAAUACGUAGGGGGCAAGCGUUAUCCGGAUUUACUGGGUGUAAAGGGAGCGUAGACGGCAGCGCAAGUCUGGAGUGAAAUCCCAUGGCUUAACCAUGGAACUGCUUUGGAAACUGUGCAGCUAGAGUGCAGGAGAGGUAAGCGGAAUUCCUAGUGUAGCGGUGAAAUGCGUAGAUAUUAGGAGGAACACCAGUGGCGAAGGCGGCUUACUGGACUGUAACUGACGUUGAGGCUCGGAAGCGUGGGGAGCAAACAGGAUUAGAUACCCUAGUAGUC